GGGCCCAGGGCUUUAGCUGAACAGUGCAAUUGUUUUAGGAAUAAAACAGUCAACAAGUUAGAGACCAACUAUUUAUAUUUAAUAUUCAAAUGACUUUAAAUCAUUAAAAGAAUCAGCAAAUUACAUAUGAAAUAUUCAACGAAUAAUCUCAACAUUAAACAUAUACCAUGUAAGAACUGUCAUUAAAAUUACUAAAAAUAUGAUUCCUUUAAGAUCAGUUCAACACAGAAGAAAGCAGGAAUUUGGCCUGGACAAUAGGACAUUUAUUGUCUGUUAGAUUUUAGACAAGUCAACUCUUCUAAAUUGGCUUCUCAUCUAUGAAAUGGGGAUAAUAGAUCUGCCUAAUUAGGUUGAUUUGAGAUAACGGAUGUAAAACACCUAAUAAAAUAAGCAUCCAGCAAAUGACUUGUUCACUCUCUGAAUACAGACUUCUGGUCAUGUAGUUCGGUCACACUCCUGAUAGCUUCUAGAACAUCAGGGUUUUAGGAGAAAUAGGUUAAAAUGAACAUCAAGAGUAGCAGAAGACUACUUUCCUUAAUAUUUGAGUGCCAGCUAUAUGCCACACAGUUCUAGUUGCUGGCAGUCAGCAGUAAACAAAAACUUCACCUGAUGCAGCACAUUCCAGGUGGGGGAACAAGUGAAAAUAUAGGGAAUAUUAGUGAUAAGUGCAGAGGGAAAAAAAAUAGAGCAGGGAAGGGGGAUGAUUUGAUGUUUUUCAGGUUAAGAAAGUGACAGAAAUGAAUUUAAAUGCAAAAAACAAUGCAUAAAGAUUCAUAAUGGCAAAACGAAGCAUGUCCCAUCAUACCCCUUCAUUCCUACCUCCCUGAUAUGUAUCUUUCUAAUUAUUCAUACAAAUGUGUAUACCCAGUUAUUACAUAUGGGGUUUUAUUCUACAUAUUAUGCUGCACUUGCUUUUUCUAAUAUAAUGUGUAUCAUGAGCACCUUACAAAUUUUUAAAGGUCUCUCAAAUUUAUCAGUAAACAUAUACAGUCUAACGUUAAUGAGAAGAUAUUUUGGUGGGCAGUUUGCUUUAAAUAAAUGGGAUCAUGUACGUUCUCUGCAUCUCACAUUUCUCAUUUAACAAUGUAGGAUGAGAAUUUCUCUAAGUCUAUCAUAGCUCUUAUUUCCUUUUUAUUAUUACAAUAAACAUUCCUGUGUAUAUGUUUGUCACCAUGAUGGUUUUACGUCUGCGGAAUAGAUUCCCUGGAGUAGGAUUGCUGCAUUGAGGAGUAUGUAUAUUUAAAUUUUUAAAUAAAUAUUGACAGAUUGUUUCCCAAAGUGGCCGGAACAGUUUUUAUUUCCAUCAGUAAAUGUAUAAAAACACUUUUCCCUUAAUACUCAUGGCAAUAACUAUUGUAACAUUAAAAAAUACGUAGAAAAAAGAAAAAAAUCCUGGUGGAUGUAGUGAUUUUUCAGUGUUAUUUUAAUUUCCAUUUUCCUGACUACUAUAAAUGUAGACAUCUUUUCAAAUGUUUUGGUCAUCUGGAUUGCACUCAGAACUGAAUUAUCUAUUCAAAGUUCUGUAGGUUAGAACUCCAGGGAAACUCAACUGGGCUGUCUGUUCAAGGCCCAACAAGGCUGAAAUGAAAGUGUCUUCCAGGGUGGGUACUCAACUAAAGCUCUGAGGAGGAAUUCGCUUCCAGCCUCAUUAAAGUCAGAGGAUGGAGGUCCCUGUCUCCUAGCUGACUGUCAAAUCUGAUCCUUUAGAGGUUGCUCCGUGGUCCUUGCACGUGGUCCCUUCCACCUUCAAAGCUUGCCAGGGUGCAUCAAAUUAUUUUUAUACUUUGACUCUACUUCUACCAGCCAGAGAAAACUGCUUUUAAAGGGCUCUUGUGACUAGUUUAAGCACACCCAGAUUGUUAAGGUCAACUGAUUAGUAGCUUUAAUUACAUCUGCCAAGUCCCUCUGCCCUGCAAUGUAACAUCAACCAUGGAAGUAACAUGAGGGGCAGAGUUCAUGGGGGCCAUCUUAGAAUUCUGCCUACCACAAAUAUUCGUAGUUAUACUUUUAUAUACAUUUUUAAAUUUUUCUUAUUUUUGGUCCAUAUGUUUGUACCGUUUGUCUUUUUAGUUAACUAGUUUGUGAAAGCAUUUUGUAUGUUGUACAAUAUAUGUUCAGAUUUUCUUAUCUUGGAUGCAAACAUUUUUUUCCAACUCUUGUAAGUUGUCUGUUGACCACAUUCAAAAGUACUUUUUCCAAAUAAAACUUUGCCUUUUGAAUUUCA
rnacentral:lncRNA from 1 species